AACGUACGCCUGGCGGCACGCCUAACACAUGCAAGUCGAACGAAGUAGCAAUACUUAGUGGCAGACGGGUGAGUAACAUGUAGGUAUCUGCCCUUUGGCCUGGAAUAACACGAGGAAACUUGUGCUAAUACCGGAUAAGUCUUUACGGAGAAAGCUUUAUGCACCAUUGGAUGAGCCUGCACUUGAUUAGUUUGUUGGUGGGGUAAUGGCCUACCAAGACUGUGAUCAAUAGCUGAUUUGAGAGGAUGAUCAGCCACAUUGGGACUGAGACACGGCCCAAACUCCUACGGGAGGCAGCAGUGGGGAAUCUUGCACAAUGGAGGAAACUCUGAUGCAGCGAUGCCGCGUGAGUGAAGAAGGCCCUUGGGUUGUAAAGCUCUUUCGUCGGGGAAGAAAAUGACUGUACCCGAAUAAGAAGGUCCGGCUAACUUCGUGCCAGCAGCCGCGGUAAUACGAAGGGACCUAGCGUAGUUCGGAAUUACUGGGCUUAAAGAGUUCGUAGGUGGUUGAAAAAGUUAGUGGUGAAAUCCCAGAGCUUAACUCUGGAACUGCCAUUAAAACUUUUCAGCUAGAGUAUGAUAGAGGAAAGCAGAAUUUCUAGUGUAGAGGUGAAAUUCGUAGAUAUUAGAAAGAAUACCAAUUGCGAAGGCAGCUUUCUGGAUCAUUACUGACACUGAGGAACGAAAGCAUGGGUAGCGAAGAGGAUUAGAUACCCUCGUAGUCCAUGCCGUAAACGAUGUGUGUUAGACGUUGGAAAUUUAUUUUCAGUGUCGCAGGGAAACCGAUAAACACACCGCCUGGGGAGUACGACCGCAAGGUUAAAACUCAAAUGAAUUGACGGGGACCCGCACAAGUAGUGGAGCAUGUGGUUUAAUUCGAAGAUACGCGCAGAACCUUACCAACACUUGACAUGUUCGUCGCGACUCUAAGAGAUUAGAGUUUUCGGUUCGGCCGGACGAAACACAGGUGCUGCAUGGCUGUCGUCAGCUCGUGUCGUGAGAUGUUGGGUUAAGUCCCGCGACGAGCGCAACCCUCACUUUUAGUUGCCAUCAUUAAGUUGGGCACUCUGAAAGAACUGCCAGUGAUAAGCUGGAGGAAGGUGGGGAUGACGUCAAGUCCUCAUGGCCCUUACGUGUUGGGCUACACACGUGCUACAAUGGUAUCUACAACAGGAAGCAAGACUGCGAAGUUAAGCAAAUCCCUAAAAGAUACCUCAGUUCGGAUUGCACUCUGCAACUCGAGUGCAUGAAGCUGGAAUUACUAGUAAUCGUGGAUCAGCGUGCCACGGUGAAUGCGUUCCCGGGUCU
rnacentral:rRNA from 1 species